AAUUGAUAUUUUAUCUUUAAUUUAUCGAUUUUCUAAUUUUACAAAAAUGUUCUCACCGAGUAGAAUAUACUUUUGAGUUUUGAGUUAAAUCUUUCACAGUCUGUUGUGGAUUAGCAACGUUUCAAGCCAUAUUAACUAUUGUGUUGUGGCAGUUCGAAAGAUUCAUAUAAAUUGGACUAUUGCUACAAAAAAAACAGAAUCACAGGUUUCAUUCUAUCAAAGGAGAUAAAGCCUCUUAUCUCUACUGUCUUUGAGGGUAAAGAUGCUAAUGUCAUCGCCCACGGAGCAAGAAAUUGCGGAAAAACAUAUCUCAUACAUGUAUUGAAAGCAAUCCCAUUAAGGUAUUGAUUAUCAGACAUGAUACUAUAGAUGAAAAAUGCUAAUUAUUGUAUCGCAUGGUUUGUAGGGAAAUGAUUAUGCUCUGACGCUCAAAGGAAACAGACACCUUUGACUGUGUCUGCUACUUCUAGAAAACAGACAGUGCUAAGGGGAAAUGUGACAGAGAGAAAAGACUAAAAUCAAAGCAAGGAAACUGUUCCGCGAAGCAAACGAUUCAGUGAAAUGUAAAAAUAGCAUGUUGGAAAAUUUAAUUAAUACGUCAUGAAGUGGAAUAAUCUAGAUUCUUCCUUUACAAAGAGGUAAAACAGAGGGUAUAGAAACAGAGACUAAGAGACCAAGAGUCUUAAUUAAGGAGGUUUGGUAUACCACUUAACCCUAAUCAAUCCACUACUUACUUGAUAAAGACAUAUUCUCAUCAUGUAUAUUUGAUUAGAUUAGCUAGGCUCGUAAUAUGGGACAAAACCCCGAAGAUGAGCAAGAAAUGCUUUGAAAGAUUUUAUCGUAGCAUGAGUGUCAUAUCUGCACCCUUCAGUGCUCCCUUGUAAAAUCAAAGUAUCUGAGUAUAGAUACUUAAUAGGUUUAAGUGUUCUUCGAUCUUGGACGAUAUGUUCCAACUUAUACUGAUACAGAGGGUCACGACAUACAUACUAUAAUUGAUAGAGAGUAUUAUCGUCAUCGUGGAUUCAGGUUUUUCCAAGGACGAUAGAUACAUGGCCGGCCCUAUAGACAUCAACAAGAAACUUUUGCUGUAACCCAAAUUUUGUUUCUGAAAUUCUUCAACAAAAAUUAUUUAUGAAA